UCAAUGGUGAAGCAUGAUCUAAAGAUGAAUGAGUGAGAGGAAGACGAGUACGAGGAAGGAGAGUUGUCUCAGAUGAGAUCAGGGCCACAUUGGUUGACAACAAUGGAUUGAGUAUGAGGGAGGCGAGGCAGAGAGUUCAGCCCAACCUGAGCCGCUACACGGUUGCAUCUCUCCUCCUCCAUACAUUCAGAAAUGAGAACCGAACUGAGAGACGGCCAGGUCAUGGUGGAAGACACCGGCUGUUCACACCAGAACAGGAGACCGCUUUUGUGAUCAUGGUGGUGGCAAACAAUACCAUUAGACAACGAGAAAUCCAGAACCACAUAAUUGCAGACAACACAAUAUUCAAUAACAUUCACCAGGUGGGCUUGUCUACAUUGGACCGUGUAUUACAACGCAACCAAAUCCGGAUGAAACAGGUCUACAGGGAGCCAUUUGAGCGCAAAGAACAGCGCUAUGCAUAUGUGCAAAGUCUUGGAUCUGGAUGCUGAUGCAAUUCAGCACGUUUAUAUUUACGUUGAUGAGGCUGGCUUCGACCUAGCCAAAAGAAGGGGACAAGGACUGAACUUUAUUGGCCACCGUGCCAUUGUGAAUGUCCCUGGACAGCGUGGAGGGAAUAUCACCAUGUGUGUAGACGUUAGCCAGCAAGGCGUCCUCCAUCACCAUGCCAACCUUGGUCCCUUCUACACUGCCCUUCCCAUCGCAUUCCUGGACACACUACAUGGCAUCCUCCUUCCAGCCGAGCAGAGGGGUGGACCAGAGCAGCCCAGGUAUGUUGUCAACGUGAGUUUCACGGGCUGUUCUGGUCCGCAACUGGUUCAUCGACCACACACAAUUUAUUGUUCUAUACCUCCCACCAUAUUCCCCAUUCCUAAACCCAAUUGAAGAGGUUUUUUUUUCGUUAUGGUGAUGGAAGGUCUAUGACCGCCAUCCCCUCGCACGCAUGCCCCUUCCCCAGGCAAUGGAGGAUGCAUGUGGUGAAAUUGAUGUGGGAGCUUUCUUCGGCUGGAUCCGUCACGACCAGAAGAUUCUUUCCCUGCUCCUUAGCCAGGCAGAACAUCGCUUGUGAUGUAGAUGAGGUGCUGUGGCCAGACCAAAAUAGGAGGCAGGAUGCAGCCUAAUGUUUUUUUUUCUUACAUUUUGUGUGUUUUGACUCUUUGUUUAGAGUUUUGAAAGAAUGAGCCACUUUCAUUUUUUAUUUUUGUACAGAAAACCCUUUAUCUUACUGAAUGUUUUUCCUUGUUUUCUCCUGUUGGGUAUGGAAAGUGCUACAUACACAACACGUGUUCAAAAAUACUGCAUUUUGGAAAUAAAUGACAAUGUUU